rnacentral:rRNA from 1 species
UACGGGGGGUGCGAGCGUUGUCCGGAAUCACUGGGCGUAAAGGGCGCGUAGGUGGUUUGAUAAGGGUGUGGUGAAAGUCCGGAGCUCAACUCCGGAUCUGCCGUGCCGACUGGUCAAACUCGAGGGCUGUAGAGGCAGACGGAAUUCCGGGUGUAGCGGUGGAAUGCGUAGAGAUCCGGAGGAAGACCGGUGGCGAAGGCGGUCUGCUGGGCUGCACCUGACGCUGGAGCCGCGGAAAGCCAGGGGAGCGAACGGG